AUGGCGGCGAGCGAGGACGACAGCAGGAACGGCUGCGUGGAGGCCUUCCUGGUGUCGUGCGCGGCGUCUGGAGACGAGGCGUACGGCGCCGUCAGGGCCGUGCUCGAGCGCCUCCAGGCCCCCACCACGCGCGCCCAGGCGAGGCGCCUCCUCGGCGCCGUCUGUCGCCGCCUUGCCGACGACCCCGCCGCCGGGCAUGAGGAGGAGGAGGAGUGCUUCCGCGCCUUCAACCUCCGCAUCCACGACGUCGUCCUGCAAGGUUGGGCCCCCAUCCUCCCCCCCUCCCCAGCAAAGCGAAUCGGUAAAAGUCGAAUGUUGAUCCGGCCAUCGCCCAUCAGUAUUGAACUUUGUAAUCGGUUUGCUUAA
rnacentral:rRNA from 1 species